rnacentral:rRNA from 1 species
AUGUCGGCGCAGGAGACGACGCCGAAGCAGGCCUGCUCCACCCGCGCCUUGAUCCGGUCGACCACCUCGAACCCGCGCAGGCUCGUGUUGGGCCCGGCGUCCUUCUCCGCCGUGUUGCCCUUGCUGGAGUCGACCAGCACCGACGCCUCGCAGCCGCCCACGAAGCAGUCGUGGAAGUGGAGCCGGAGGAGGCCCGCCGCGAGGCCCGGGUUGCCGGACACCGCCUUGCUCACCUCCUGCUGCACGAUGAUCUCCGCCGCCGGGCACGAGCUGUCGUAG